CUAGCUGCUGGGAACAGAGUUUGCUGCUCAGAUUGAGGGAGGAAAGCUUGAGUAGUGCAGUAGUUGUGCUUAGUCUUGUCUCAGUUAAGUGAAUGUUAUUGAGGAUUUAAAAUACUGAAGUGUUAGUGCAUCUACCAGUAGAAAGACUAACGCCCGUUCCUUACUUUAUUGGGCUGUUGAUACUAUUUACAUAGUGGAAUAAAAAUUUUUGGUCAGUGUUAUUAGGGCUAUUCUGCAUGUAGACCAGGUGUUUGAUUUUGGUAAUUGUCCCUGCUUUUGUGAUUCUUGAUUUCACAAAAUAAUCUUAAAUCAGUACGGAUUUUUAACGUAGGGCAAUUUAACAUUGCGAAGUUUGCUUGCAUGUGCUGGUGUAUUGGGCUGUCUGUUUGAGCUGGUGGUAUUGUUCAGCUUGUUUAAUCUUUACAUGACUUUUAAACAUGCUCUUUGUCUGGUAGGUGAGUGCAGAACUGGCAUCUCAGUGCUUGGCAAUUCUCUUCCUCUGAGUAUUUGAUGUUGUGUUGGCCACUAAUUCAUGCUGGUUGAGUUUUCUGCAAGCCUCUCAGAGAAAGCAAAAGCAACUGCAAAUAGCGCUAUGCCAGGAACUGGUUUCUGGACCAACAAUGUUGCUUCAGCAUGCAAUGAACUGGUUCAUUCUCAAGUGGUCACAGUGGUUGAUGACAAGAGGCUUUGUAUUUGAAUGUGGCACAUCUUCUGGUCCGUGUGAAAACAAGUUUGAAUGUUAAAGAUUUUCUGACACUUUGGAGGUACUGUUCCUCUUUGCAUUUUCUUUAGGUCAACAUAUUGUGCAUGGCAAUACUAUACAGGUCUAAAAUGUCAUUACAGGUAGCAAUAGUUUGGAGCACUGAAAAUUGUUAAUGAAUUCUGAUCAUGGCAGCAGUCGUAUCCCUCCAUGACCAACUGAUGAGCUCCUGUGCCUCGAGGAGAAAUUCCGUGACGUGACGUUAACGUUGUCCCAGAAGCUUGAGUUUUAUCACCUGCAGUUGUUUGGCUCAACAUCUUCUGUGAAAUCCAAAUCAACACAUACAUUUGAAGGAAACUGUACAGGAAAAAAAGAAAUUGAAGUUUAUCAAAGCAAAACCAAAACUCUGCAGAAUAGAAGUAGGCUGUUGGGACAACCUGUUUCCUAGUUAAUGCAGAUGAAGCAUCCCUCUCUGACCUGGGAGCAGCGCUCCUGAAUCCUGCCCCCAAGGAGGACCUUGCCUGCAAACACUGCGGUGUGCCCGAGUCCUGGACAGACAGACAGACAAGAAAGUUGUCAGAACUGUGGGUACAAUAAAAAGCCAGCCACCCUUUUGAAACAGCGCUGGACUUCAGUGCUUCUGUCUGAGACCGGUUUCUACUUGUUUGAUGAGUGAACAGAGCAGGGCUGGUGGUGUUUUGCUGCCUGUCGCCUUGGUUACAUAGAUGCCCUCAGCUGUGAGCUGUGACCUCUAUGCAGGCUGGUGCCCCUUCACAUUGGUUUCCUUGCUGUGGGAUGUCUCUGAGCCUGCCUUAAAGCUUUUUGAUAAAAGUCACGUUUGUGUCUACCAGAGUCGUUUGAAGAGAUUUUUUUUUUUUCCCCUCCCAACUUUAAGAGUAGCAGAGCAUCUGAAAAAUUAAAUGAUGAGGUGUAGUGUAACACUGAGUGAAAUCCAUGAAAUAAUCUUUAUUUUUCUUUCAAACAAGUUUGUCUAGCUUAAAGAGGCUUAAAAAUCUGCUCCUGGCUUUGGGUUAAGGUCUGUGUGUCUUGAAGCUCAAAGACAGGUGAGGUUGAGGCUGCCAGACCUGAGGGCACAGGAAAAGGGGUUAUUGCUAUCAGUAACCCCCAAGAGUUUAUCGCCUUUCAAGCACAGUGACAGGAGAUGCAGGACAAUGGAUGGGACCAAAUCCAUGGAGCGCCACCUCUCUGAGCUGCUGCCCCGCUGAGCAAAGCCAGUGCCCUAGCAACUGCUGCUGCUGGGGCUCCUGGAGAGUUAAUGUCCCUGUGGUGGCCAAGCUGCCAAUACAACAUGCUAGCCUGGGCUGCAACACUGACUGUCGUAGCGAUGCUCCUCCUGUUACUCAGGCAGAUGCUCUUAAAGCAUGUGCAGGUUUUUCCUCUUCCCUGUGGUAUUCAGCACAUGGGAUUAGACACUUCUUUUGACUUUCGGUAGCCAUGCUUGUUUUGUAAGCUGUCCAGCUGCUGUAGCGUGGGCUCUGCGUUCAGCACUCACAGCCAAUGUUACAACUUAGUGGGAGUACGGCAGGUGCAGUUUCAAAAUGACCAGAAGUAACUAUAAUGUCAUUUUAUCAAUUUUCUCACUGCAUGAUUAUAUUAAUGAAAAUUUUGACUUUUCCAAGAGGAGUGAAGCAAUAAGUGUCAACAGCCUUCCCCCCCACCAUUCAUCAUAAAUUAAACUACAAAAUAUUCUGAAAAAGGUUCAUUGUGGAUGGAUUUUUAUUUUCAGAAACUCCUGAGUGUGUGAAGCUGGGAGAGUUACAAUGAAAAUCUAAAAAAACCAGAGAAGCAAACCAGGAAAGAUAAUUCAAUGAGUGCAGACAUAGGACUAAAUUCUGCCACCAUAAAUACUAUUUCACAUCUUCAGAAUACACCACAGAAUACCUCUGGAGUUUUCCAGAAGUACUGUAUUUUAGCAUAGUCUUAAAAAUAAUUUUCCUUUUUCUUACAGUAAAACUGUGUCAAGUUUUUCUCUGCUGGUAUUUUUUUAACAGCUGGUAUUUAACAGUUAUGAUUUUGAGACUAAGCAAAAAGAUGCUUUAAAAAACUAAGUAUUGAAUGCUUGUCUGGACAUGGUCAAUACUGUAGUAUGCUGUAACAUUUUUCUGUAUUGUUGCAGCUUUGUGUGUCAUAGGGGUCAUUUUUGCCUCCUGAGUUAUGGUAUAGUAUUGUACAAAAAUAGAAUAAUGUUGAAAUAGUGAUGCGUGCAACAAUUCUCUGUCCCUGUGAACUUAAAUUCUAAAUUCUUUUUAUUGUUUAUGGUUAGUAACCUGCUAGAUCAAGGUUAUCUUUGAAAACUCUUGCAUUCAACCCUGUACGCAUAAGCAGUAAAUGCGCAGUUCUCUCUUCUGAAUAAAGAGAGCAAAGAACUUUUACUGUGGAUUAAUUCUUGCUAUCUUUGAUAAUAAAUGGUUGAAUGCAGACCCAGAAUCUAUGAUAAUGAUGUAAUCUGUUUCCAUUUGCAGUAGGCUUUUAUUAUUCAUUCUUCGUAAACCAUUUAGCAAGGAGUGUGGGCUAACAUUGAUUACUCCAUAAUUAGUGCUCACAGACAGUAGGUUGGAGCCAUGUUGGAGGGAAAAAUUUAUCAGCUGCUAAAAGCCACAUGACUUACACAGAAGAACUGAAGUGCAAGCUCUAAAGUGUAUUAAAUUGCCAUGUUUAUCACCUACUUAAAUGCUACUGUCAGUUCUCCAACUGUUUUAUGUACAACUGUUCCUCAAAGUGAAGCAGGAGUAUCAUGCAUUUUAUUCAUAACAGAUUGAACAUGAGGCAAUUAUCAGUAAACCAUUUGUUGGUGAAGCCUAUUUCCCCAGGUCAGGAAACUAGAAACAGGUAUUCUGUAACAGAUUGGGAAAGGGCUUUUCAAAAUGACCACAUAAUCAGAGCAGAUGCACAGUAGAGCAUCUGUGCAACCUUCGGGCAGUCAUUUAUAUACAUUAGUGAGAGCAUCGGUCUUUGUGUGGCUCCUGCUGGGCAUGCAAACACAGCUCGACUGUUAUUUUGCUGGAAGAUUUUCUUGCCAAAUUUUAUUAAACUACAUCAAGGCAUAACAUACAAAUGAGAUGAUAUAAAAUGCUUAAAAGGACUAUUUGUGAGUUGGCUUUACUGCUGUGACUGAGUUUUUAUUCUAGAGUUUGUCUUCCAUUAAGUCUCAGAUCUUCACAGGUCAGCUACAUUUGUCUUCCUCUAAAGUGAUUCCCUGUGUAGCCCUGAAUUUAGUCUUGCUGCCUCCUGCAUGGUGUCGGUGCCCCUGGCAGGGUCUGCUGGUGCUCCUGGUGUUUGAGCUCAUUGAAGCCUCACACACACACAUAAAAGGAUUUUGCGGCAGCAGUGAUCACAAGAGAAAUUUGGGGGUCACUGAAUGGCUCCUGUGAGAUGGUUGAGGCAGCAUGGCCUCUGCGGGCAGGGUGGGUGCAUUCAUGUGUGCUGCCAUGUGUUUUUCUUCUGGUAUUUGCACACCAAGCAGCGGUGGGAAGUGGGAAGGCAGGUGCUGCAGGUGCUGCUGUUCUGGGGCUGACCAGGUCUCCUUUUUCUGUGAGCGCGGGUCUGCUGCCGGGGCGGUGACCAACUGCUGGGGCUCUCCCCCUAAAUCACUGCCCCCAGGGUCAUUUCAGCUUGGAUUUGCAAAGGCUUCACCAUUUUUCUGCCUGUUUUACCUCAUUCUCUGCUUGGCAUUUUUACCUUGUUUCUUUUUUCAUUUUCUUUUUGUUGCUGUCCAAGCAAAUAGAAGUUAAACUGUUAAUGUGAGUUCAGAUUUGACACCAAUGGUACAGUACUUUAAAAUUUUCAAGAAUUCAUUACACUGAUCCAAUAGCUCUUCCAGGUCUGUGGAAAAUAACCAGUUGCACAGGAUCCAAAACAGUGAAAUGACUGAAAUGCAUUUAUACCUGUUUGUUUGGAGGUUCAUUUGCUCAGUGUGUGGAAACCAUGACCUCUGGAAGAAUCGAACCUGCAAGUUCCCAGAUGCAUGGUAGAAAAUAAUGAAUUUCCCUUCCCCACAAAAUGAGAGGAGGAGGAUUUUGGCAUAAAGCUGUCUUGCAUAAUUGCAAAUAUCAUAUUGAAAAAAUAAAAUUUCCACUGUGAGAAUGCAGAUUUUGAGGUUUCAUUUUUUAUUUGAACCACCACUGAUGUUUGAGCCUCUACAGUUAACGGAUUUGCUUGCACUCUGCUUGUUGUUGUAAACAAAUACUGUCUUAGCAUUGUGUACUGUAGUGAGGAUUUGUAUAAUUAUAAUUUUUGUCUUCAUAGAUUUAUAUCUUGAACAUUAAGAAAGCAUUGAUUCAUACAAACUUUCUAACAGCUCAGUGAUCAUUGGAAGGUAUUGUGUGUAGUGAAAUACAGAAGUCAAUAAUGGAUAUUCUGUAUCUAUUAUCCUGUAUAACCUUUCCUUUCCUUUUGGUAUGAUGGACGGAGGAAUCUCUACCAUGAACUCACAAGGUUAUUAUGUAUGGAUGUCUCAUCCUCUUUCCAGACGGACUUGCUAAGUCUUUCCAGCAGAUGAAGAACUACUUUACUUUUAACAGUACUUGUGUAGUUAUUGAAUGCUAGGUAAUGGAUCUGUUGUUAACAAUUAAGUUUUAUACCUAGUGGGUUAUUGCAAGCAUUUUGGGUUGUUGUUUUAAUGCAUUAAGAUUCCUGGCUAUGUAACAAAAAUUUACAUACUGUGCUAUGUAUAUAGAUACAGAAUUAUUUUUUGAGUAAAUAUUUUUUUUUUUUUUUAAUAAUGAGGGUUAUACGUGAUGUAAGUUGCCACUUUUUCUGUUUGUUCCUCUUUGAAAACACAAUGCUUGAAUGUGUGAAUUUAUAAAGGGCUUUUUUUUAUUUUGCCCUUUUUUUAUUAAAAGAUUGUUCUUUUGUGUCGAGAGAAACUGUGAAAAUGUGUUGUGUGUACUUGAUACAUUGUUCAUUUAUUGAGUCUUCAGACAGUUUGAAAAAAAUGGAUUUUCAAGUGAUAUAUAGAACUGCGGAAUCACACAGAAUGGUUGGGGUUGGAAAGAACCUCUAACUUUAGCAGGUGGGUUGGACUAGAUGAUAUCAAGUUCACCCAGAGCAGAUUGCACAGAAGUGUGUCUUGGCAGGUUUUGAAUGUCUCCAGAGCCUCCCUGGGCAGCCUGUUCCAGUGUUCUGUCACCCUCAAAGUAAAGAAGUUUCUUCUCGUACAACCUAUGCUUAUGGUGCUAAAUGAUGGCUCCCACAGCAUCCUUACAGCUAAACUGAGGCAGUGUGGUUUGGAUGAUCGGGUAGUGAGGUAGACUGUGAACUGGCUGAAGGAAAGAAGCCAGAGAGUUGUGGUCAAUGGGGCAGAGUCCACUUGGAGGCCUGUAUUUAGUGGAGUGCCUCAGGGGUCAAUACUGGGACCAGUACUAUUCCAUAUGUUCAUCAAUGACUUGGAUGAGGGAAUAGAGUGCACUGUCACCAAGCUUGCUGACGGCACCAAGCUGGGAGGAGUGGCUGACAUGCCAGAAGGCUGUGCUGCCAUCCAGCGGGACCUGGACAGGCUGGAGGGUUGGGUGGGGAAAAAAUUGAUGAAAUAUAACAAGGGCAAGUGUAGAGUCUUGCAUCUGGGCAGGAACAACCCCAGGUUCCAGUAUAAGUUGGGGAAUGACCUGUCAGAGAGCAGGGUAGGGGAAAGGGACCUGGGGGUCCUGGUGGACAGCAGGAUGACCAUGAGCCAGCACUGUGUCCUUGUGGCCAGGAAGGCCAAUGGCAUUGUGGGGUGUGUUAGAAGGGGGAUGGUUAGUAGGUCAAGAGAGGUUCUCCUUCCCCUCUACUCUGCCCUGGUGAGACCACACCUGGAAUAUUGUGUCUUGUUCUGGGCCCCUCAGUUCAAGAAGGACAGGGAACUGCUGGAGAAAGUCCAGCGCUGGGCAACAAAGAUGAUUAAGGGAGUGGAGCAUCUUCCUUAUGAGGAAAGGCUGAGGGAGCUGGGUCUCUUUAGCUUGGAGAAGAGGAGACUGAGGGGUGACCUCAUUAAUGUUUACAAAUAUAUAAAGGGUGAGUGUCACGAGGAUGGAGCCAGGCUCUUCUUGGUGACAACCAAUGGUAAGACAAGGGCACUGGGUAUAAACUGGAACACAGGAGGUUCCACUUAAAUUUGAGAAGAAACUUCUUCUCAGUGAGGGUGACAGAGCACUGGAACAGGCUGCCCAUGGAGGUGUGGAGUCUCCUUCUCUGGAGACAUUCAAAACCCGCCUGGACACAUUCCACAUUCCUACAUCUGAGUGUUCCUGUUCCAGCAGGGGGAUUGGACUAGAUUAUUUUUUGAGGUCCCUUCCAAUCCCUGACAUUCUGUGAUUCUGUGAAUUAUUUCUUCCAGCAGUGCCCACAAGUAUGGUCUGCUGUAUUACUGUAUACUCACCCUUGAUUCUCUGUACUUGCUGCUGCAUUGCAGUGAUGGCAGUUUGAGUGUCAGUAGCUCCUAGAUGUCAUCGAAAGGAAUUGGUGACCCAGCUCAUGUUGGAAGCUGCUCAUCAGUACAAAUAAAUGGUUUGGACUCACUACACAGGUAUGGAUAUAUAGAUGUAUAGCAAGACCAGGAAAGUUGAUGACUGUGGGACUUUCAAUGGCACAUUUAAGCAGAACAUCUAAUUGUGUUACACACCUGAUCAGCUCUACAGUCAGCCCUGCUUUGGGCUGGAGGUGGGACAAGGUCACUUCUGGAGGUUUUGCACAACCUAACUGAUUUUGUCUGUUUGCAGUUAGUUUAGGGUACACUUAAUAUGUUAUUUAAUACUUAACAAAUUAAACGUAAAGAUGUACUACAUUUAGGAUAAUUUUUCCUGCCACUGUUCUGAAAUAUUGCACUUCCUGUUUUUUUUUAAUCUUAUUUUCUUUUCAAAGUCUGUAUCCCUGUAAAAAUAAAAGCACCUCAUAAGGCCAUGUAAAAGUAUUAUUAAA